rnacentral:lncRNA from 1 species
CGGCGCUUCCUGGGCGCGGAAGUGAAGCUGCGGUUUGCGGAGCGACCCAGAGCUACCUUAGAACGAGCGAUGUCGCCCAGAAUCUGCCCGAAGGCCUCAGACGUCCCACCCUGGUGCAGCUAGCAGUUUCCUGGAAUUUUACAGAAAUUUCGUUCUCCGAAACACCCGAGAUUUUGG